rfam:Fusibacter sp. 3D3 DNA, contig: 8.
GCCCGGAUAGCUCAGUCGGUAGAGCAGGGGACUGAAAAUCCCCGUGUCGGUGGUUCGAUUCCGCCUCCGGGCA